GGAUUUGAAAAUGAUAUGGCAGCAGUAUCUGUCAUCCCAUUGGUCUCCGGGGUUAAUUCAGCUGCUCUGCACAACUAGGUAUGCCAUUCCUCCUACACCACUCCAGGUGCAUCUUUCCUAAAGCCAACUGAUCAGUUGAAGAAGACAACCUUCCCUGCUAGGGGAGGACCAUUCUGUCCUCAGUAAAAGUAGAUGUGCUCUCCUGCUAGAACCUCCAAAGAGCGCCCCAAGAAUUGCUAACAUAAGUGAUGGGCAGGUGUGGUGCUAGUUCCUGCCACUAGAGUAUUAAGCAAUGUUGUAACCUAAUGAGAGUUACAUUUUGGCU
ensembl:misc_RNA 7SK 7SK RNA